CUGAUGUGUCCUUGAUCAGGGGCUGUUUUGUUUAUGAUUAAUGAAUGACUCACCUUGGGCUGUGUUCCGUUCAAUGCAUACCUCAUUAUGAAUUUGAAGAGGUCAUUUGUUCCUUGGAUUUAAAAUAAAAACCUCUUUGUACAUUGAGAAGGUUACGAGUUUGAUAUUGGUGCAAAAUUGGGUCAAAGAGAAUGCGGGACGUUUGUGUCGGGUUGUUUGUUGACACUGUUGUUUUUAACAAACAAGUUCACUUUUUAACUUUAGGCAUUUGGAGAGCAUGUCUAAGCCUGGGCUUUGAUUUUAAAGUAGGUCCUAAAAUUAUGGGACUUGGAUCCAACUUCUCCGUAGCAGCACUGCCUCCCGGAUGCCAUGAUUCUGAAGGGCAUCAGGGUUGGCAAGUGGAAGGAGGAGGCAGCUCAAAUUCCCACACAUCUGGGGCAAACAGAUACUGCACUCCAAUUUCCUGUCGGCGCCGCUGGUUUCUCGCGGAAUUACUUGCUAAGGGCCGGGCUUGGGUUCUCAGCGGGCCUGAGAGGAGGAAGGAAGCGGAGUCCCCGUCUUCCUGUUUCUCCAGGAAUGGAGUGGGCGCUCCAGAAGAGUCCAGAAGGCCAGAAAUAGAGCUUAUUUAUUAGCAUUAUACUAUGCCGUAGCAGCUCAAACACUCUGGUACAGACGAAGGUUGGC
rnacentral:lncRNA from 1 species